rnacentral:rRNA from 1 species
GGGUUGUGAGGUUAAGCGACUAAGCGUACACGGUGGAUGCCCUGGCAGUCAGAGGCGAUGAAGGACGUGCUAAUCUGCGAAAAGCGUCGGUAAGGUGAUAUGAACCGUUACAGCCGGCGAUGUCCGAAUGGGGAAACCCAGUGCAAUUCGUUGCACUAUCGUUAACUGAAUACAUAGGUUAACGAAGCGAACCGGGGGAACUGAAACAUCUAAGUACCCCGAGGAAAAGAAAUCAACCGAGAUUCCCCCAGUAGCGGCGAGCGAACGGGGAGCAGCCCAGAGUCUGAAUCAGCUUGUGUGUUAGUGGAACGGUCUGGAAAGUCCGACGGUACAGGGUGAUAGUCCCGUACACCAAAAUGCACAGGCUGUGAACUCGAAGAGUAGGGCGGGACACGUGGUAUCCUGUCUGAAUAUGGGGGGACCAUCCUCCAAGGCUAAAUACUCCUGACUGACCGAUAGUGAACCAGUACCGUGAGGGAAAGGCGAAAAGAACCCCGGCGAGGGGAGUGAAAAAGAACCUGAAACCGUGUACGUACAAGCAGUGGGAGCACCUUCGGGUGUGACUGCGUACCUUUUGUAUAAUGGGUCAGCGACUUAUAUUCUGUAGCAAGGUUAACCGUAUAGGGGAGCCGCAGGGAAACCGAGUCUUAACUGGGCGUUAAGUUGCAGGGUAUAGACCCGAAACCCGGUGAUCUAGCCAUGGGCAGGUUGAAGGUUGGGUAACACUAACUGGAGGACCGAACCGACUAAUGUUGAAAAAUUAGCGGAUGACUUGUGGCUGGGGGUGAAAGGCCAAUCAAACCGGGAGAUAGCUGGUUCUCCCCGAAAGCUAUUUAGGUAGCGCCUCGUGAACUCAUCUUCGGGGGUAGAGCACUGUUUCGGCUAGGGGGUCAUCCCGACUUACCAACCCGAUGCAAACUACGAAUACCGAAGAAUGUUAUCACGGGAGACACACGGCGGGUGCUAACGUCCGUCGUGAAGAGGGAAACAACCCAGACCGCCAGCUAAGGUCCCAAAGUCACAGUUAAGUGGGAAACGAUGUGGGAAGGCACAGACAGCCAGGAUGUUGGCUUAGAAGCAGCCAUCAUUUAAAGAAAGCGUAAUAGCUCACUGGUCGAGUCGGCCUGCGCGGAAGAUGUAACGGGGCUAAACUGUGCACCGAAGCUGCGGCAGCGACACUAUGUGUUGUUGGGUAGGGGAGCGUUCUGUAAGCCUGCGAAGGUGGCCUGUGAGGGUUGCUGGAGGUAUCAGAAGUGCGAAUGCUGACAUAAGUAACGAUAAUGCGGGUGAAAAGCCCGCACGCCGGAAGACCAAGGGUUCCUGUCCAACGUUAAUCGGGGCAGGGUGAGUCGACCCCUAAGGCGAGGCCGAAAGGCGUAGUCGAUGGGAAACAGGUUAAUAUUCCUGUACUUGGUGUUACUGCGAAGGGGGGACGGAGAAGGCUAUGUUAGCCGGGCGACGGUUGUCCCGGUUUAAGCAUGUAGGCGGAGGUUCCAGGUAAAUCCGGUACCUUUUUAACGCUGAGGUGUGAUGACGAGGCACUACGGUGCUGAAGUAACAAAUGCCCUGCUUCCAGGAAAAGCCUCUAAGCAUCAGGUAACAUUAAAUCGUACCCCAAACCGACACAGGUGGUCAGGUAGAGAAUACCAAGGCGCUUGAGAGAACUCGGGUGAAGGAACUAGGCAAAAUGGUGCCGUAACUUCGGGAGAAGGCACGCUGAUAUGUAGGUGAAGCCCCUGCGGGUGGAGCUGAAAUCAGUCGAAGAUACCAGCUGGCUGCAACUGUUUAUUAAAAACACAGCACUGUGCAAACACGAAAGUGGACGUAUACGGUGUGACGCCUGCCCGGUGCCGGAAGGUUAAUUGAUGGGGUUAUCCGUAAGGAGAAGCUCUUGAUCGAAGCCCCGGUAAACGGCGGCCGUAACUAUAACGGUCCUAAGGUAGCGAAAUUCCUUGUCGGGUAAGUUCCGACCUGCACGAAUGGCGUAAUGAUGGCCAGGCUGUCUCCACCCGAGACUCAGUGAAAUUGAACUCGCUGUGAAGAUGCAGUGUACCCGCGGCAAGACGGAAAGACCCCGUGAACCUUUACUAUAGCUUGACACUGAACAUUGAGCCUUGAUGUGUAGGAUAGGUGGGAGGCUUUGAAGCGUGGACGCCAGUCUGCGUGGAGCCAACCUUGAAAUACCACCCUUUAAUGUUUGAUGUUCUAACGUUGGCCCCUGAUCGGGGUUGCGGACAGUGUCUGGUGGGUAGUUUGACUGGGGCGGUCUCCUCCCAAAGAGUAACGGAGGAGCACGAAGGUUAGCUAAUCCUGGUCGGACAUCAGGAGGUUAGUGCAAUGGCAUAAGCUAGCUUGACUGCGAGCGUGACGGCGCGAGCAGGUGCGAAAGCAGGUCAUAGUGAUCCGGUGGUUCUGAAUGGAAGGGCCAUCGCUCAACGGAUAAAAGGUACUCCGGGGAUAACAGGCUGAUACCGCCCAAGAGUUCAUAUCGACGGCGGUGUUUGGCACCUCGAUGUCGGCUCAUCACAUCCUGGGGCUGAAGUAGGUCCCAAGGGUAUGGCUGUUCGCCAUUUAAAGUGGUACGCGAGCUGGGUUUAGAACGUCGUGAGACAGUUCGGUCCCUAUCUGCCGUGGGCGCUGGAGAAUUGAGGGGGGCUGCUCCUAGUACGAGAGGACCGGAGUGGACGCAUCACUGGUGUUCGGGUUGUCAUGCCAAUGGCAUUGCCCGGUAGCUAAAUGCGGAAGAGAUAAGUGCUGAAAGCAUCUAAGCACGAAACUUGCCCCGAGAUGAGUUCUCCCUGACUCCUUGAGAGUCCUGAAGGAACGUUAAAGACGAUGACGUUGAUAGGUCGGGUGUGUAAGCGUAGCGAUACGUUGAGCUAACCGAUACUAAUGAACCGUGAGGCUUAACCUUACAACGCCGAAGCUGUU